ACCUUGCUGAUGAGUGCCAAGUAGCACGAAACCCGAGUCCAGGGU
rfam:Schistosoma rodhaini strain Burundi genome assembly, scaffold: SROB_scaffold0007371